GUGAGAGCCGACAGAACAGAAGUGCUUGAGCUUAAUCUUCCAGAAAGUAGAAACAAGCCGAAACCUAGCAGAACAGAAAAGCAAGCCGAAACCUAGCAAACUUUGGAUUACUGUAUUUAAAAGCAAACCAGUAGACCUUAGAUUCUUGAUCUAUAAAUACGUUUGGGAGGUUCUUGUGUCUUGCUCAAAGAAUUCAAUCAUGGCUAGCUCUUCCUUGGUGGUCAGAACUUCUGUUCCAAAGGAAAUAAUGAGAGGGCAAAUUAGUGAACUGAUUGAUGCCGACCAUAAUAGUUGUAGUGGUCCUGUGGUGAGCAGAUGUGUGGCUCCUUGGUUGAUGCUACUGCCGGAGUUUAAAGAGGACAGCACCGUCUUCAAAUUCUACAGACCGGCAGAAGGGGAUGUCAUACAAGUACAACAUGAGCAGCAAGUGAUGAUGCCUGAUAUUGAUUCCGUUUGCUUGGGUUCAUUAUCCAAGGGAUGGCUUGUUUGUAUACAGCCUAAAGAUUGUCUUCUCUUCAUGUUUAACCCACUUUCUGGUAAGACUAUCCAGCUUCCAUCCAUUGAAAGUUUCCCCUGUGUUAACGGCGUUAUUCGGAACAGUGUCAGAGUCGAAUGCUUUCUUAACCACCAAUCUAUUCCCUUAACCCCGCAACGUAUGUCUUCAUACAUUGUCGAAAAGAUGAUCCUUUCAUCCCCUGAUCCUAUGGAUGAGGACUGCAUAGCGUUGGUCAUUUACGGGCCCCACCAGCGACUCGCAUUUUGCAGGAGGCCUGGCAUAGCUGAAGCCAAUUCGUGGACUGCACUCGACGGUCCCUUACAUGAGUACACUCAAAUUGUGUUCCACAGUGGAAAGAAACUAUUUUUUGCUCUCACCCAAGAUAAGGAGCUUGAAGCUUGGGAUCUCCACAAUGAUCCAACUAAGAGGUUUCUCAUUCAGAUUGAAGAUAUAGGCUGCAGUGAUGAUUGGCCCUGUUCUGCUGCGGAUGAUACUGAGCUAGAGUGCAAGUCAUGCUACUGUUGGGACACUGAUUACUUGGUAUAUGACCACCAAACCCAGGAGCUUUUUAUUGUUACACGCUACAUAGCACAUGGCAUUGCCCAAGAUGGGACUCUGAUAUUGCCUGUGGACAACGCUGAGCGCGAAUAUCCCUACAAGACUCAAACUUUUGAUGUUUUCAAGCUUGAUUUUAUAGACCAUGAUCAUGUGGAGCUUCAAUACUUGCCAAGCAGCCUUGGCAAUCGUGCAUUCUUCAUUGGUUCCAAUCCCGGCUUUGCUCUCUCGACCACCAUGUUCCCGGAAUUGAGGCCCAAUUCUAUUUACUUUACAGAUGAUCUAACCUAUGCUUACAUAUUUAGGGAGGAGCCUAAUUGUGGAGGUCAUGAUUUGGGGAUUUAUGACUGUAAAGAAGGAAGCUUUUUAUCCUGUUACUACCCUGUCGAUGUAGACAAGAUACAGAGGAUUCUACCAGCUCCUAUUUGGUUCACCCCUGAUGUUGAUGCAACAUGCUUGGCCUCCACUUUAGGUCUCUAAACUUAUUGUGGAUCAUGUAGCAUAGUAAAAUGCAUUGUUCGGAAGGAUAAAAUGGAAAGGAGAUGAAUGUCAUCAAGGUCAAAACAACUUGUUUAGUUGUCUGACAAUUUCCAAUGCAGCAAGUAAUUAAGGAAUGUGGAUUUCCUAGGCAAUACCACUCUGCACAUUUUCAAGUUAGGUGACCUUUACUCUAGAAGCUGAAGGAUUCCUAGUGGCAGGAUGGAUAACAAUCGAAGCUGGUUGAAGUGUGAAGAGAUCUCUCCAACCAAAUUUCACUUAUAGAUGAACUGUAGUGUUGUGGUUUUCAGGUCCUAAAGGUGAUGCAGCAAAGCUUCAUAGAUGUACUUAUUUGUUGGCGAGGACAAAGUAUGAAGAGCAGACUGAAGAAGAUAUGGAAAUUAAUACCAUUAUGCAUUAUCUGGACUGUGUGGCUCAAAAGGAACAAAAGAUGCUUUGAAGCAACAGAAGAGUUGAAUGCUUUGUUAAAGUUUAGAUGAUUUUAGAAUAUGUUUUGUCGGCUUAGAGGAUUCUGUCAUUAGCAUUUCUGGUUUCAUGGACCUGCUGGAGUCUGUAUAGCUGCUGUUUAAGUCUGGAUCCCUUGUAAACUCUUUGGUACAUUCUUGGUAC